rnacentral:sRNA from 1 species
UUAUGCGUUUUAUCACAAGUCCAAAAAAUAACAAAGAGCUGAGGACGUGGGAUGGUGUCGUGUAUGAGACAUACACUAAAGUGUGUGUUGCGCGCGAAUUUAUGUAAUAAGAGGGAUGAAUACCAUUUC